ensembl:lncRNA CCDC26 CCDC26 long non-coding RNA
GACAGAGCAAGUAAAAUAUUACGCUACAGUGCUACUGGCCCAUAAUCAGGCAACUGCAGAGUCUUAGGGGGUUAUCUAAUGUAGUCUUGGGGUGGCUGGAUAGACUUCCCAAAGAAGGUGAUGCCGAAGCUGAGGUCGGAAAUUACGAAGAUCAGCUAUAUUGUGCCUGCAGCCUGGCCUGUUGCCCACAGCGGUCUACCUGCCACACUGGGAAAGAUCGAGCAGAGACAGAGAAGAAAAGGAGGCUCCAUUUUUCAGGCUGCUCUCCCGCAGGCUCAUGUUUUGUGUUCAUGCCAGGCAGAGAACACAAAAUGUUCCAAUAAAUAAGUAUCAAAGGUUAGUGGUGAAAAUGAAGGAGGAGGAGGCAUUGCGUGAAAAACUAAACAUGCAAAAUAUUACACACAAAGAGAACCAAAAUGCAGGUUCACUGGAAAUGAUAGACAAUAUGUUAAAACAAGAGGAGAGAAGAGAGCUGAAAUAAUCAAAUGGAAACACACAAUUUAGGGCUAAGAUCUUGUUGUGUUCAGCCACAAAUGAUGGCCAGCAGUGAGGAAUCUGUGUGUUCUCCACACUCUUCGCUCCUGGGAAGUCAACUCACAUGGACCAUGAUAUCAAUAUCUGCUCCUUCCCCUAAUAUCUGUUUGACCUUGGGUCAGUUACUUAAACUUCCUAAGCCUUAGUUUCUUUGUCUGGAAAAUAGGGAUAGUUAUACCUACCACACAACCACUUUGUAAUGAAUAUGUUGGAAAUUAUAUGCAAAUUGGCUUCCGUUGGUGUUUGGAACAUAGUAGGUUUUUAACUGGAAUAUAAUAGCUACCAUUAUCAGUAUCAUCAUAUUAAUUUAUAUUUCCAUCUUCAGCCCUUAACCCAGGAUCUUCAGUAAAUGUUGAAUUCUCAAAUUUGUUAAAUUCACUUGUCUAUACUAAUAUUUUACUCUAGGUUUCUUAGAAUAUUCUAGAUAAUAUUAUUAUGUAGAAUAUGUUAUGUAAGCUUCAUCUUAUCUGUAAAUAUAGUUUUACUUUUUCCUUUCUAAUUUUUAUGUCGAUUACUUCUUUUUCUUGGCUUAUUGAAUUGGCUAGGAUUCCCGUACAGUGUUGAAUACGUGCAGCAAGACUGCACAUCUUGCCUUGUUCCUGGUCCCACAGAGAGAAUAUCCAGUACUUCACAAUAAGUAUGUGUUAAUUGUAGAUUUUAUUAGAUUGAGGAAGUUCCCUUUCCUUUCAAGUCAGUCUUUUUAUUUUAAACAUGUAUUGAAGUUUUGUCAAAUGUCUUCAUCUAUUGGAAUAAUUAUACAUAUCUCUUUUUUAUUCUGUUAAUAUUACAUUUCAAUCUUCUGUCUACCUAAAAUCCCUAGAAUAAUCUCCAUUUGGCUAUGAUGUGUUGUGCUUUUAUAUAUUACUGAAUUCUAUAUGCCAAUAUUAUUAAAAUUUUCUGUCUUUAUGAGAAAUAUUUGAAUGUAUAUUUUUUCAUGUAUUUGUUUUGAUUUUAUUUUCAAUGCCAUUUUGUAAAAGAGCAUUAAAGUGUUAGUAUGAAAGUA